AUGGAUUCUGCGAGGAGCUGGUUCAACAAGCUCCAAACGAGGGAGAAAUCCGUCGGCAAGAAGAAAGAUAUGCCUCCAAGUGGCAAGGAAGGGACCGAUGAAGCACCUUCCAGCGCUACGAAGCAAAGGGUUGCCGCGGCAAAGCAGUACAUCGAGAAGCACUACAAGGAGCAGAUGAAACAUCUACAGGACAGGAAAGAGAGACGGUAUAGUUUUGAAAGGAAGCUAGCAGAUGCCAAUGUGUCCGAGGAGGAGCAGAACAACAUCCUGAAGCAAUUUGAGAAGAAGGAGACAGAGUACAUGCGUUUGCAGAGGCACAAAAUGAGUGCCGAGGAUUUUGACCUGCUGACAGUGAUAGGGAAAGGAGCAUUUGGUGAGGUUAGGAUCUGCAGAGAGAAGACCACAGGGAAUGUCUAUGCAAUGAAGAAACUCAAGAAGUCAGAAAUGCUUCGCCGAGGUCAGGUUGAGCAUGUCAGAGCCGAAAGGAACCUCCUUGCCGAAGUGGACCACCAUUGCAUUGUGAAGCUGUAUUGUUCUUUCCAAGAUAACGAAUUUCUGUAUCUCAUAAUGGAGUACCUUCCUGGAGGCGACAUGAUGACAUUGCUGAUGAGAAAAGACACGUUGACCGAGGACGAGGCUAGGUUCUAUGUUGGCGAAACGGUUCUCGCGAUAGAAGCAAUCCACAAGCACAGCUACAUCCACAGAGAUAUCAAGCCUGAUAAUCUGCUCCUAGAUAGAUAUGGCCACUUGAGACUAUCCGAUUUUGGGCUAUGCAAACCACUUGACUAUGCAGCCUUCCCUGACUUGAAUGAGAAGGAUGUCACGCCUAAUAGAACAUCAUCGGCUCAUGGUGAUGGAAGACAACAAACUACGCCGAAACGCACACAACAAGAACAGCUGGAGCACUGGCAAAAGAACAGAAGAACUUUGGCUUACUCCACUGUUGGUACACCCGACUACAUUGCUCCAGAAGUUCUUCUGAAGAAAGGUUAUGGGAUGGAGUGCGACUGGUGGUCACUUGGUGCUAUCAUGUAUGAAAUGCUAGUGGGGUAUCCCCCAUUCUACUCGGACGAACCUAUGACAACUUGCAGAAAGAUUGUGAACUGGAGAACUCACCUUAAAUUUCCGGAAGAAGCACGGCUAACGCUGGAUGCAAAAGAUCUAAUAAGUAGACUCUUAUGCAGCGUUGACCAACGCCUCGGUACAAAAGGUGCAGAGGAAAUUAAGGAGCACAUCUGGUUUAAUGAAGUAGACUGGGAGAAAUUGUAUGAAACCGAAGCUGCAUACUUACCUCAAGUAACGGAUGAGUUGGACACUCAGAAUUUUGAGAAAUUUGAAGAGUCUUCCGAUCAUUCUCAAGCUUCAUCAAAGACAGGCCCUUGGAGGAAGAUGCUUUCAUCAAAGGACCUGAAUUUCGUGGGCUAUACUUACAAGAACUUUGAACUUGUGAAUGAUGAUGAAGUUCUUGAAAUGGCUGGUCUGAAGAAGAAGGAGAAGGCGAAGAGACCAAGCGUCAAAUCCCUCUUCGAUGAGCCUGACGGAGAGGAGGAGCAGCAAGCGUCCGGCGAAGACGACGAUGACGGCGAAGGCAGCGUCCGGAACCGGAAGACGGAGCCCGAGCCCGAGCUGACGAGGAGCCUCAGCUUGCCGUCCCCCUCCGCCGACAAGCCCAGCCUCGCCUUACCAACGGAUUAA
rnacentral:rRNA from 1 species